rnacentral:rRNA from 1 species
UACGUAGGGUGCAAGCGUUAAUCGGAAUCACUGGGCGUAAAGCGCGCGCAGGCGGACACGCGCAUCGGCGGUGAAAGCCCCCCGCUCAACGGGGGAGGGUCCGUCGAGAUGGCGUGUCUGGAGGCAGGGAGAGGCCAGUGGAAUUCCGGGUGUAGUGGUGAAAUGCGUAGAGAUCCGGAGGAACACCAGUGGCGAAGGCGGCUGGCUGGACCUGACCUGACGCUGAGGCGCGAAGGCGUGGGGAGCGAACGGG